AUUGAACGCUGGCGGCAUGCCUUACACAUGCAAGUCGAACGGCAGCACGGGGGCAACCCUGGUGGCGAGUGGCGAACGGGUGAGUAAUGCAUCGGAACGUGUCCUCUUGUGGGGGAUAACCAGUCGAAAGAUUGGCUAAUACCGCAUGAGAUCGAGAGAUGAAAGCGGGGGACCCGAGGGUAACUUCGGGCCUCGCGCGAGAGGAGCGGCCGAUGCCGGAUUAGCAGUUGGUGGGGUAAGAGCCUACCAAGGCGACGAUCCGUAGCUGGUCUGAGAGGACGACCAGCCACACUGGGACUGGGACACGGCCCAGACUCCUACGGGAGGCAGCAGUGGGGAAUUUUGGACAAUGGGCGCAAGCCUGAUCCAGCCAUGCCGCGUGUGUGAAGAA
rnacentral:rRNA from 1 species